ACGNUCUACACCCUACGGGGAGGUAGCAGUGGAGGGAUAUUGGUCAAUGGGGGGAACCCUGAACCAGCAACGCCGCGUGAGGGAUGGACGGGUACUUACGGGAUUUGGUAAACCUUCUAGUCCUCUGUGGAAAGAUAAUGGACGUANCAGGAGGAGGAAGCUCCGGCUAACUACGUGCCGCNGACGCCGGUAACGUACGUCGGUACGGCGGGGCCGGUACGGUCGGAACGGACGC
rnacentral:rRNA from 1 species